AGCUGGCAACCCUUUAGAAACGUCUGGGUAGGGGAAUUAUUCAACAGCACGAUGAUUCAUGCUCCCCAGUUCUGCAGAGGAGAUGGUCACAGAGCUUUUUUCCACUGGGAGGAGGGAGACAAGGGGCAGACAGGCUUGGCUCCACACUCAAGAGAAAUGAGUCUGAAUUUUCUCAUCUUUCCCUCAAUAUUUUCUCAGCUCCUGGAUGUGUGGGAGGAAAAGGAAGUUAUUCAGGAUCUAUUAUGACUUUCCACUACGUUGCUGCACUUUGGAUUAGUGUUUGUAUUACGUCUGCAGCCCAUUGUCUCCUGAAUGAGCUGAUUCCUACCUCCCCAUUCUGUUAUCUCUCCAUCGAGGCAGCUGAAAUUGCCUGUGAAGAGACUACUUGGGUUUGCUUAUCAGACCUGGGUGAAUGUACAUUUAAAUUCCUUUUAAAUGUACAGAAAGAUUUCAGAGAUUAAAGCAUGCCUAUGCCAUGGGCCUAUGCUAUCAAAACCAUAUUAGGGAAAUUUCUGGGUUUUAAGCUCUAAUAUCAAUUCAGGAGCCAUAAGAUAGGAGGAUUUAGAGCCAGCCUUUCUCAGAACAUUGGUGCAAAAGCAAAUGAGAGCUGACACCCUACUUGGGAAGAGGAAAAAUACCCACAGAAUUUUUAAAACCCCAGUCUGAAUUUAGUAUAGUUUCUCAGGGAUCCACUAGAAACAAUGUCUUGAUGGUUCCUCAUAUUUUUAAAUCUUUUUGGCCUCCUCACAUUAUUUACACUGAGGGAAUUUCCAUCCCCUUAAACUCUGUGCAUAACAAGAGAGAUGUGUCUUGUUCAUAAAGCUGUGUUGUUAAAAGUAGUCCCUAUUCUACAUAAUCGGUUAUAAACUCUUUACUUAAAGUAGAAGGAUCUUUUUUUUUUCCACAAAAUAGACAUAAAUGCUUAUUAAUCUUUUCCAGGUGUGUAAAAGCAAAUAAAAAGGCCAAACUCUAAUCUAUGUUUAACAUUUUAAACAGAAUCUUACUGCACAUAAAUGUAUGCUGUGAUGCUGACCAUUCAUUUACCCAUUUUCAAGGUGUGUGGCCCUAUUAAGUUGGGAAAUUCAUCUACAGCUCACACAUACGUGCCUCUGUUUCUGGUAGCAGGGGUAUUUUGAUAUGUACCAAACACCAAAGCCUGACAUCAUUUUUUGGCAGGCAUGUGGAUAUUUUGGGUUGUAAUUGCUGGCUUGCAUGUCAGUGCACUCCUGCUGUCUGUUAACCAGAACCAUCUCCUUGUUCUUCUGGGGUUUUUUGCCAAUCCUUUCUCUGAGCUCAGCAAAUUAAGGUUUUUUCACCAGCUAAAAGGGUUUCAUUUCUGUGUACAGUUUGCUUUUGUGCAAUGCAGAGAUGCCCAAAUCCCUGUGCUCCAGUUGGAAAAUCAUAUCCUAAAGUUCUAUGAACAUUCCCUUGAACCCUUUGUUUUUACUUCCUCAUCUAAGUGCUCACAGUGAACAUUCCCAGUGCAGUGUUUUGCAGUUUAGGGUCUUCUGGGGGUCAUAAACAGGGUCCCAAAUACCCUCUACAGCCAUAACUUCCUCUAUAGCUGAACUGGAAGGUUGUUGGUGGUAGAGAAAUAUUUUGCUGUAAAUUAAGGCCAUAAACAUGGAAAAAUGUUGGCAGUCAUUAACACCAAAUGGGUACAAUUUUGGUGGGCAAAAUUUUUGGCAGCAACAUAAAACCAUUUUGAUUUGAAUAUUUAGAAAACAGGCAAAGUGAAGAUUUAUUUCUGCUCAUGAACAGAAAUCUCAUCCUUGUCCUAGAGUCCUUUUUGAUGGAAGGAGCUGCAAAAGUACUCUGUAAAGAAGGGACAGUGAGGGCUGUUUGGCACAGCUGUGAGGAGAUGGGCUGCACCUGUGGCGAAGCACUGCAAAUUUGUUCUUGGUGUGGAGUCUUUAAAAAGCACCUGAAGCCUCUCUGGAUUUUGAGGUCUGAGGAUGAGACCCCUCAAUUUUCAGUUAUUGUGGCUUCAGCUCCUGCAGGAACUCUGGCCAAAUGAGGAUCCUCCAUGGCUUUUUGUCACUUUUUUCUGAAUGGUGCAUGAAAAUACAGCAGCUGAGGGGAGUUCACUUGGAAAAGUUUCUAAGCCUUGCUGAGUUCUGAGCUCCAGGAAAAUCCCACAGUGCUGCCUGUGGUGUCUUGUGCUUAACCAAGCGUCUGGAAAUGCUGGGAUCAUCAUCGUCCUUUCCAAGGGCUGUGUCAGAGCUCCAUGGCAGGGACAGCUGGCACUGCCAGGGUUUGUGGGGCUGGGGAUGGGCACCCUGGAGCCACUGUGGCUUUGCAAAACCCAGGGAAUGGCUGCAGGACUGGGAAUCCCACAAGUGCUGAGAGAGGAAACCCAGCAGCUUUCCCCACAUGGGUAAAAACUUAAAUGUUAUCCAUUAAAAACAUAACGGACACACUUCCCAAAUGUUUGAACUUUAAAAAGGAAGUCAGGAUUCCUGUUUCACUCAAUAAAAGGUUUCAUUUUCAGGUUGGGCAUCAGGAGGAAUUUCUUCAUGGGAAGGGUUGUUAACCAUGGGAAUGGGCUGUCCAGGGAGGUGGUGGGGUCCCCACUCCAAAAAUUACUGGAUAUGGCACUCAGUGGUUUUUUUGGGAUUUCUCAGGGAUUGAACUUCCUGCUCUUGGAGGUCUUUUCCAGUGUAAAUGAUCAUGAGGAAAAGCCAACAAAAAUCUCAAGCAAAAGCCCCUGAUGCUCUUGCAAUGCUUAAACCUGAGCAUAUUAAACACCAAUAUCUUCCACAGGCUAAAAGAAGGCAGUUCUGGCAUGUUCAUCCUCUGGAUUUAAAGAUAUUUCUUAAUUUUUUCUACUUUGAGGCAGUUGGAUGGUGAGGAUCCAAUGAUUGGAGUUCAGAUACUCGAGUCUAGAUUUGAGGAGGGAUAUGGAGUUUUAGUUUGGACCAGUCAUUGAGAAGGCAAAUAACCUGGUUUUUAGUGUGGCUGGAUUGCCCUCAGAUCUUUAUCAUGUAUUUAAAACCCAGGCCUCUGCCUGAAAACUGGUUAGAGAAAGUCUUUUGUAUUUUCUUUUGUAUUUUCUUUUGUAUAGUCAUCACUGUUGGGUGAUGAUUCCCUCGUGGUAUUUCUAAGAAUGAUUACAAUAGAAGUAAUAUUUUUUUAAUACAGCACAAAAUAUUUGUUUGUAUUGCUUCUUGCAGAUUAAUGCUCCAAGCAGCCUUUACUUUUAUGGCUUUUAAAGAAUCUGUCCUGUCAAUAGAACAAAAAUGCUCAUGGUACAAUUUCCAGUGAAGAGCAAAUAUUAUAAAUAUUUAAUAUAUAUUAAAUAUUUAUAUUUAAUAUAUUUUAAAUACAUUAUAUAAUUUAAUAUAUAUUAAAUAUUUAAUAAAUCAUUAUUCAAUUCGCACAUCAUGGAAAGCGAUGCCUUUCUUAAAAGUUCAAAUGAACUUUUUUUCUUUUCUCCUUUUCUUUUCCCCUUCUUUUUUUGAGAACUGCAUAAUUCAUCCAAAUUCAGUUGCUAAGAGGAAGCACUUGAGAUUUUGUAAAAGUCUGCUGUGGUGAGCUGUGGCAUUGCACAGGAAAAAAGAGACAGUUAUUAGUGUAAAAGAAUCUUUAUCCUUGUACUCAUUUAAACAAAAAUGAGGGUGUUGUCCUGAGCAAGGUAAAAAGCAAAUUUCUUACUCAAGUAAGACUUAUUUCUCACUCAUAAUGGGUGACAAUAAUGAAAGAAGCCAACAAAACAACAAAUCUUGAACACUGAAUUUCAAAGACAGCUUGAGACUGGGGUCAGGGCCACAAAUAUUUCUGAGAAGUGCAGAGUACUGAGUACAUUUUGUAUUGGCUAAAAGAGCUCCUGAAUUUUAAAAGGCAUUAAAAUAUGUAAAUUCAUGCAUUGCUUGGGCCAAUAAAGUAUUAAAGGUGCAGGAAAAAGGUCUACACUCCUCACAGGUGCUUUGGGGCAUUGCUCUGGUAGUCUUCUUAAGGAAUGCAUCUGCAUGCUUAUUUUUCAUCUUGAAUUUACAAAUAUCAGAUUGUGAAAAACAGUCCAUGAAGUGUUUUAAAGAGAAUCCAGAGUAUUUGGGAGGAAUGUAGAUGAAACAUUUCCUUACUAUUUAAGGCAGAAGAAAUUUACUUCAUUCAUUCAUUCCUUGAGCAUCUGAAAAAAAAAAGAAAAAAAACCCCCAAAAAUUGAAACCUUUUCUUCCUGUCUUAUUCUGGCAGAUUUUGCUUCAAAAACCCUCAAUGUGAGUUUUCUAGAAAAGCAGUGCACCAAAUAUAGUGACUGUACUAAUAAUUAUCAGCUUCAUCAAAACAGAGGUUUAGUAGUCUCAAAUAUUCACCUUUCAUCUAGGUGAAUAAAAUGGGCAAGCUGGAAACUGUAGUAUAUUAUUAGAAUUUAAUGUAUCUUCCUUUUUUUUUUCUCUCCCUAAAAAUGUCAAUGUUUUAACACAUAUGAUUUUUUUUUUCCCUUGAAUCUUUGUCUCAGAGUUCUAUUAACGACACUUACAGUAACAACACUCUCAGUAUCCCUGUUAGUUUAAUUUCUGUCUUGGUUUUGCUGGGAUGAUAUUAAAAUUGUUGUUACAGCUUUUAUCACAGAUGAAAUCACAUAGACUUAAUGUUAGCUGGUACCCUAAGAAUUGCAAGAAACUGGUAUUCUAUUUCUUUCAGUGUUUAUUGCAUGUGAGAAACAAUUCUUUGCCAAAAAGUGUGACAAUUUAUAACAUAAAUAUGGAAAGAACCUGAUUUCUGUGUGGAAGAGUUAGACUUGAAAAGUAUAACUAUGUGAUUUUGAGGGAUCAUUUUGCUAUAAUGCAUUGCUCUGUAAACUUGCUAUUAUGAAUAUAUGAAUUAUGGGCCUAUUUCACAAAAUCAGAGAAACAUUAUAAAAAAUAAAUGUUAUUCAUUUAAAAAUGGCCAUGUUCGUGGUGCUCAGGAAACUUUUAAAAGUUUUUAAAUUGUUGCAAUAUUUACUAAAGCCACUGGCUAGUUUGAGGUUUAGAAUCAUUGAACAUCCUGAGCUGGAAGGGACCCAAAAGGAUCAUUAGGUUUGAAAUGCUAUUUUUGCUUUCUAAUGUAUAUUUUAUAAUUGAUCCUUAAGCUUCCCUGAAGUUUAUAAUUUUAGUUACUAUUUUUAUAAGUGAGAAAUUGCUGCGCCUUAAUAAAAAGCUUCCAAUAAAGAGCCUUGUGUGGAGAAAAAGGAGAGAUCUUAAAUCCCAGGGAAGACAGAAAACAAGAGAACAGUUGGUAAUAGACUGAAAGCUUGUAAAAAUCAUUAAGUCUUUGUGGAGGUUGGUAAACAGUAGACAAACUGUCCUCAUGGAAGUUCUUGA